rnacentral:rRNA from 1 species
AACGAACGCUGGCGGCAGGCCUAACACAUGCAAGUCGAGCGCCCCGCAAGGGGAGCGGCGGACGGGUGAGUAACGCGUGGGAACGUACCCUUUGCUACGGAAUAGCCUCGGGAAACUGGGAGUAAUACCGUAUGUGCCCUUCGGGGGAAAGAUUUAUCGGCAAAGGAUCGGCCCGCGUUGGAUUAGGUAGUUGGUGGGGUAAUGGCCUACCAAGCCGACGAUCCAUAGCUGGUUUGAGAGGAUGAUCAGCCACACUGGGACUGAGACACGGCCCAGACUCCUACGGGAGGCAGCAGUGGGGAAUCUUAGACAAUGGGCGCAAGCCUGAUCUAGCCAUGCCGCGUGAGCGAUGAAGGCCUUAGGGUUGUAAAACUCUUUCGGCCGGGAAGAAAUCGCAUGGGUUAAUACCCUGUGCGGAUGACGGUACCGGCAUAAGAAGCACCGGCUAACUACGUGCCAGCAGCCGCGGUAAUGUACAGUGU